ensembl:lncRNA
GACGACUUUGAAUUAUACUUACAUACUAAUACUUCCAAAAAUCAUAAAUUAUAACAAGGGUCACUGUCAGGGUGAAAAUAUAUAUUUAAAAGUUAUUUUUAAAUAUGUUAUGCUUUAGCAUCAUUUGAUUUAUUCUUGGCACAUGUGGCUUCUUGGAAAGUAAAAAUUCACUUUGCCAAUUUUAAGUGUUGUGCAGGUACAAGAGAAAGAACACAGUUUAGGGGCAGACAGACUUGUGUUCAGUUACCAGCUUUGUCCCUAGUCCUGCUGUGUGAGGCUGCUUUAUUACCUCUCAGUGCUGGGACAAGGGUUAUAUUAAAGAAUGCAUGCUCAAAAUGUACAGCAUGGGUACUCAAUGAUAUCCUUCCUCCAAUUUAUUCUCAUUCUAUUCACAUUGUAGCAACAGGAAAAUAUCUCAGUCUUAUGUUGUAUUAUAAUUUGAAAAAUUGAAAAAAUGAAGAAUUAAAAAAUAAUGUCAAUGUGUUCUGAAAAAAAUUGCACUUUUAAUAAAUAUGGAAAUCCCUCAGCAGGAGUCAAUGUUUCCUAAUAAAACUUAAUGCCUACUAUACCCUGAUUUUUAAAAAAUUCCUAAAAUAUGAUAAAAUGGCCAGUGGUUAAGGACUUUUGGUUUUCUUUUGUGCUACUAAUAUAAAAAUAAUGGCUAUAUUUAAGGCUCAUUAAGUGAUUGUAGUUGCCCUGAACCAAAUCUAUAUUCUGGAUGUUGCACUAUCAGAUGAAACCGACCAACUGCCUUGAGUGACUGUUCCAGAGAAUUCUCAUGGGAUUCUGUAUUUGAAACAAUCACGGCCUCCUAUCUGACUCUAUAAAGGUUCCUCAGGUGGCAUGUGGCAGUUCAGCACAUCUAUCAUUAGGGAUGACUCGUAUACACAAUCACAAACCAAUCUUUCUCAUGCUGAAUACAUGGUGCUUGGAACAACAGGGAUUCCUAAAAUUUAAAUUUAUACUGUCACAAGGAAUAAACUAUACAGUAAUUCUUAAUUCCCUAUUCUUGAGUCUUUUUGUUUCCUACCUUGACACUGAACAAAUCCUUGUUCUAUUUCUGACUAUUUCUCCAGAAUAUUUUUGUCUAACCAAACUUCACACUCAUCCCUUUAUGCACCUUACACGCAUGUAUUUUUACAUUAAAUUUUACUUGCAUAUAUAACCACUCAUAUUUUGUGUGCCUUCAACGUCCAGCUAUAAUGUCUCUGACUUUUGAAGUUUCCACAGUGUUUAUCGCAGUGCUGUGCCUGUAUGUAUGUGGCUAUGCAUAUAUGUACGUGGAGUGUGUGUGUGUGUGUGUGUGUGUGUGUGUGUACUAAGUGAAUUUUAAAAACCUAAAGAAUCCAGGUGACUGUAGGGUAGAAAAAGUUACAUAAUUUGACAGAAAUCAAAAUUGUUGGACCUUCCUAAUACCGAAAAAUCUAAUUUCCAAAGCUGUAUUAUUUGGUUUUAGACAUGUCAAUAAUAGAAAAGUAGUGGAAAAACUGUUUAAAAAACUUUUCUGAAAUAUUCCAAAAAGGAUUUUUAAAUAAAUUAUUAUUAAGAG